UUAUUAUACCCUUUUAUUUGCUUGUGUGUAUAGCUCAUAGAUGGGAGGAUCGCCUCACUAAGUAUUUGUGAUAAUACUUACGCAUCUCAUUGUGUUGUUGAUGCAGGUAAAGAUAAAGUGUGAUCGUGGAAUCAUGGCAAGGAAGAGAGGAUGAUUUAGGAACUCGUUUGUUUUAUUUUUGUGUUUUUGGUUAUUGGAACCCGGUUAGGAUUGUUAGUUAUUCUUGGUUUUGUUGGUCGAAUUAUUUAUUUAUUCAUAAAAUAGUAUUUUUGACUUGCGAUUUAAUUGUUAUUUUAUUGGUUGGUUUAAUUAGAUAUUUAUGGGAAUAUUUAAUUAUAUU
rnacentral:sRNA from 1 species